GACGAACGCUGGCGGCGUGCUUAACACAUGCAAGUCGAACGGAAAGGCCCUGCUUUUGUGGGGUGCUCGAGUGGCGAACGGGUGAGUAACACGUGAGUAACCUGCCCUUGACUUUGGGAUAACUUCAGGAAACUGGGGCUAAUACCUGAUAUGAGCUCCUGCUGCAUGGUGGGGGUUGGAAAGUUUCGGCGGUUGGGGAUGGACUCGCGGCUUAUCAGCUUGUUGGUGGGGUAGUGGCUUACCAAGGCUUUGACGGGUAGCCGGCCUGAGAGGGUGACCGGCCACAUUGGGACUGAGAUACGGCCCAGAAUGCUACGGGAGGCAGCAGUGGGGAAUAUUGCACAAUGGGCGGAAGCCUGAUGCAGAAACGCAGCGUGCGGGAUGACGGCCUUCGGGUUGUAAACCGCUUUCGCCUGUGACGAAGCGUGAGUGACGGUAAUGGGUAAAGAAGCACCGGCUAACUACGUG
rnacentral:rRNA from 1 species